rnacentral:rRNA from 1 species
GUGGAUUAGAUACCCUAGUAGUCCUAGCCGUAAACGAUGGGCACUGGGUAGGGGGCUCGCCGAUGGGCUCCCUGCCGUAGGGAAACCGUGAAGUGCCCCGCCUGGGGAGUAUGGUCGCAAGGCUGAAACUCAAAGGAAUUGACGGGGGCUCACACAAGCGGUGGAGCAUGUGGCUCAAUUCGAGGCUACGCGAAAAACCUUAUCCUGGGCUUGACAUGCACGGAUUAGCCGGCGGAAACGCCGGUGACACCGCAAGGUGGAACGUGCACAGGUGCUGCACGGCUGUCGCCAGCU